rnacentral:rRNA from 1 species
ACGGGAGGCAGCAGUGGGGGAUAUUGCACAAUGGGGGAAACCCUGAUGCAGCGACGCCGCGUGAGUGAAGAAGUAUUUCGGUAUGUAAAGCUCUAUCAGCAGGGAAGAAAAUGACGGUACCUGACUAAGAAGCUCCGGCUAAAUACGUGCCAGCAGCCGCGGUAAUACGUAUGGAGCAAGCGUUAUCCGGAUUUACUGGGUGUAAAGGGAGCGUAGACGGCGAGGCAAGUCUGAUGUGAAAGCUAUGGGCUCAACCCAUAAACUGCAUUGGAAACUGUCUUGCUUGAGUGCCGGAGAGGUAAGCGGAAUUCCUAGUGUAGCGGUGAAAUGCGUAGAUAUUAGGAGGAACACCAGUGGCGAAGGCGGCUUACUGGACGAUAACUGACGUUGAGGCUCGAAAGCGUGGGGAGCAAACAGGAUUAGAUACCCUGGUA